rnacentral:rRNA from 1 species
UACGAAGGGGGCUAGCGUUGCUCGGAAUUACUGGCGUAAAGCGCACGUAGGCGGAUUGUUAAGUCGGGGGUGAAAUCCUGGAGCUCAACUCCAGAACUGCCUUCGAUACUGGCGAUCUCGAGUUCGGGAGAGGUGAGUGGAACUGCGAGUGUAGAGGUGAAAUUCGUAGAUAUUCGCAAGAACACCAGUGGCGAAGGCGGCUCACUGGCCCGAUACUGACGCUGAGGUGCGAAAGCGUGGGGAGCAAACAGG